rnacentral:snoRNA from 1 species
AACCCAUGCAUCGGACACUUCCGCAGUAAUUUUUUAAAUCUUUCACAAGCUUCAUAUAGUGCUUCAUCCUCUGAUUGCUGAAAAGACGUGAUGUCAUUUCUAAGCUU